rnacentral:rRNA from 1 species
CUUCCGCAGUGUACACUUGUAGAAGCCUUUGCAGCCACGCAAGUGGUAGAUCCAAGCGACUUUAAACAAUUCCAGGAUCGCUAUGCAAGUCGGGCCACGCAUGUGGUGCCGGCGACACUUUCGAAUUGACGGGGACACCCUAAAGCCUGUCGCACCAACUCUGGGUGGGAAACCGCCCGAGGGCCCGUGCUAACUACACGGGGUGGUAACAGACGACAUGGAUACUUCCACGCCUUUGGUGUGGAUAUAUGGGCAAUCCGCAGCGAAGCCUCUAAGUCCGGCCGCCGGAUAUGAGGAACGUUCACAGACUAAGUGGAAGUGGGUGGAGCGUUUGCCGCUCUGCUUAAGAUAUAGUCGGGCCCCUUGGGAAACCAAGGGGGUGAGUACACUGCUUGAAAUUCAAACAGGAACGUGCCCGGUCUCGGAGAGCGCUCGUGUUAUAGAAUUUCGAGACUGUCGAUUGCCUCGCGGUUUGACAGCUCUUAAAACGUUCCGUAGGUGAACCUGCGGAAGGAUCAUUACAGAAAGUAAACGCGGGUCAAACCGCGAACUUCUAAACCUUUGACGAUCGACUCAUGUUGCCUCGGCGGGUUCGCCCGCCAGAGGAUACAUCAAAACUCCUGUUUUAACGGUGUUGUCUGAGCUACAAGCAACGAAUCAAAACUUUCAACAACGGAUUCUCUUGGAUCUGGCAUCGAUGAAGAACGCAGCGAAAUGCGAUAAGUAGUGUGAAUUGCAGAAUUCAGUGAAUCAUCGAAUCUUUGAACGCACAUUGCGCCCCUUGGUAUCCCGAGGGGCAUGCCUGUUCGAGCGUCAUUUCACCACUCAAGCCUGGCUUGGUGUUGGGCGACGUCCGCUUUUGGGGACGCGUCUCGAAACGCUCGGCGGCGUGGCACCGGCUUUAAGCGUAGCAGAAUCUUUCGCUUUGAAAGUCGGGGCCCCGUCUGCC